GUUCUGCUUCCUGUCUGUGGGUUCUACUUCUGGUCUCUGGGUUCUAUUCCCCAUUUCUGGGUUCUAGUUCCUGCAUGUGGGUUCUACUUCUGUCUCUGGGUUCUGCUACCAGUCUGUGAGUUCUAUGUCCGGUCUCUGGGUGUAACUUCUAAUUCCAAACUUCUUCCAGUCUCUGGGUUCUACUUCCUGUCUGUGGGUUCUAUUCCUGGUCUGUCGGUUCUACUUCCCGUCUCUGGGUUCUACUUCCUGUCUGUGGGUUCUACUUCUGUCCUGUGGGUUCUACUUGUACUCUCUGGAUUCUACUUCCUGUCUGUCGGUUCUAAUUCCAGUCCCUGGGUUCUACUUCCGGUCUCUGGGUUCUACUUCCGGUCCUUCGGUGCUAUUUCCGGUCUCUGGGUUCUACUUCCCAUCUGUGGAUUCUACCUCUGGCAGCUUUAUCCCAGCCAGGCAACCAUGGUGGGGAUGACCUGCCAUAUUCUUAACAAGGGUGCAGCCCCUGGCUGGCCCUGCCCCCAGGCUGCGCACGGCUCCUCUGCUUCCCGCUGGGUUUCGAGGGGCAGAGCAGCCUCCCUGCAGCCCCUCCUCCUGCGUUCAGGCUGGGGACCGUCCACACGCUGGUCAUUCCAUGAUGGCGUCUGUGUCACACACUGAAGUGUGGAGGAGGGCCAGGGGUUCCCUGCCUUUGGGUGGACAGGAGAGGAUGCCACAGGGUUGUGGGGGUGGCGUGAACCCCGAGACCACUGUCUUGGGAUAGCGGUGUAUCUGUGCGGCCUUUAUCCAGGGCGCUGUGGGCCUGCACACAGGGUCUGAGGAACAUGGCCCCCCUCAUCCUUGCACACGGCCACACGGCUCACCAGGAACGGAGCCUGGGUGGGGGGUGGCAGGUGGGCAGUCUGCACCUGCAGGGAGCCGGCCGUGGCCCAGAGGGUGUGGGCGAGAAGGAGCCCAGGGGGCCCUGGACACAGUGGCUGGUGUGCCUCCCACAUACACAUGUGCACACACACACGUACACACGCAUGCACGUACGCACAUUCAUGUGCAUGCACACACACACACGCCACUCACUCAGAGGCCCAGAAAUUGCGUGGCUCUCGGGAGGAGCCGUGAUGUCCUUCACAAGCUGUGUCUGACAUCGGCUGGGUUUCCGUUUGCUCCAGUACCAAAUGGGGGUCAGAUCCUCUGAGGGUGGUGGUGAGGGUGUGAGUGGCCCUGCCCACGUGGUAGGAUCACCAUCACCAUAGCCUCC
rnacentral:lncRNA from 1 species